rnacentral:rRNA from 1 species
CCUACGGGAGGCAGCAGUGAGGAAUAUUGGUCAAUGGGCGCGAGCCUGAACCAGCCAAGUAGCGUGAAGGAUGACUGCCCUACGGGUUGUAAACUUCUUUUAUAAAGGAAUAAAGUGAGGCACGUGUGCCCUUUUGUAUGUACUUUAUGAAUAAGGAUCGGCUAACCUCGUGCCAACAGCCGCGGUAAUACGGAGGAUCCGAGCGUUACCCGGAUUUAUUGGGUUUAAAGGGAGCGUAGAUGGGUUGUUAAGUCAGUUGUGAAAGUUUGGGGCUCAACCGUAAAAUUGCAAUUGAUACUGGCAGCCUUGAGUACAGUAGAGGUAGGCGGAAUUCGUGGUGUAGCGGUGAAAUGCUUAGAUAUCACGAAGAACUCCGAUGGCGAAGGCAGCCUACUAGACUGCCACUGACGUUGAUGCUCGAAAGUGUGGGUAUCAAACAGGAUUAGAUACCCCUGUAGUC